rnacentral:tRNA from 2 species
CUGCCCUUAGCUCAGUUGGAUAGAGCACUCGCCUUCUAAGCGAGCGGUCACUGGUUCGAAUCCAGUAGGGCAGACCA